ACCGAAGAAAAACGGAAAACGCUUUCCAUUUUCCAGUUUCCAAUUCCUAAAGUUACAGAAAGAAAUUUAAACGCGAACAGCGUCAAGAUUUCGCCUUUUUUUCCAGAGAGAAAUAUCCAAACAGGCCUGAAAAUGGAGGUUGCUGAUAAUGACAAAGAGAGAGAAGAGGAACAGGAUGGCAUGUCCGUACAUUCUCCUUGUAAAGCUCCUCCUUCUUCUGCUUCUUCUCUCCCUAAGGAGCAAUCACAGGUUGAAUUGGAGCUCAGGCUAUUAGAAGCUCUUGAAAUUUAUCCUCUGGUUAAACUACGAGGCAUGCAUCGCCACUUUGUUCUUUAUGGUCUUAUGGAAUUUCUGCGUAGAAGCUUUGAUCGACAGUUUUCGCCUGAUGAGGUUUUGCAGUUGCUGGACCGUUUCUACAACAUAGAAAUGCUGAAACCAGAUGAUGAAGAAUCAGAAAUCCUGGGUCAUGAAGAAGAUUUUACGUUGCCUCAAAGUUAUUUUGUUAAGGAAGAGUAAUAGCUUGCAGUUUUGGCAUGUGUUCAUUUCUAGACUUACUUGGUCCUGGUUAUGUUCCCAAAUGUUAACAAAACAAAGGGGCAAGCUUUGAGAGGAGGUACAUAUUGCUUAGAAUCUCCGAAUUUUUAAUAUUCUGGUCAUGAUCCUUCUCAAUUGUGGCUGUUACGUGACUUUCCACUUUCUUAUUUGGGAAGAAAAAUUUGUAAAUACAAAUAGAGAGGAGCUAUAGUGCUUACAGUUAACUAGGUUGUCUGAACAUCGUAAGUCAUAAAUUGCUACUACUUUGUGGGGUUUGGAUCAUUGACUGAUGUGCAAGGACAUUAAAUCCUCGGAUGGAGAGGAAAAUGAGGACCCUUUAGCGUUACUUUUAUAAUAAACUAAUUCCAGAAUAUUUCUUCUGUUGUCUUUUCUCAGGAGUGGAUGAAAAUGGAAGCCACUAGUUUUGAUUCUUUUCCAAUGUAAGGACUCGUUUUAGUCAAAUAUCUACUUUAUAUUUAACAACUCCUGUUGAAUGGCCUAGACCUGCUGACCCAGUUCAUGUGGGGUCCACUCUUGGUCCACCAUGAACGAGGCUAGACAAGAAAAAUCGAAAUGGAAGUCCAUCUCAUGGUCAGUAUUCAGUAAGCAUAGUAUGGGAGAAGUAAAG
rnacentral:misc_RNA from 1 species